AACCUGCUGUGAUUGGAAAAUGGAUAUUCCAUUGUCUGCUGUAGGAGUACAAAUUCCUGCAGAUUCAGGAUAGCCUCUUUCUUGGUUUGGCAAGCUCCUACUUUCCUAUAAUCUGUAAAAUAGGGAUAACAUCUCUAUACCAGAAUUGAACUGAUAUUGAAUUAUAGGAGAUAGAUUUGAGUUUAUACACAGAUUAGCCAUAACGUCUCAAUGAAUGGCCUUUACCUUCUUUGCCUGCCUUGGCUGGAGCAGAGAAAAAGUAUGACUGUUGGCUACCAUGGCGGACAGUAAAUGCUCUUUGGCUGACGGAAGUGUGCUCUUUGGAUGCCCACAUCCCCGCUUUCCACCCUCUCUUCUCCCUUCUGCAGUGUUAGGCGUGCAGCAGACACUGUCCUGAGUCUGUGUACUGUCCCCUCCUAAUGCAUGGAAGAUCCUGGGGGAGGCGGGCAGAAGCUGCUCUGCGUGAGUGAAGGAGCCUGACUCACCACUCAAUAGCUGUGUGGCUUUGGGAAUAGUCCUUGUUUUCCUGAGGCUUCGGUUUCCCCUCAUGCUAAUGGGAGGCUAGAUUAGGGGCUCCUGGCCUCUCCCUACCAGGUCCGAAACCCUCAAUUCUCUGACUCUGUCUCCCCCCACCAUUUUGCUCAGUCCAGGCUCUGGACCCCACUGGUACAGAAUCAACAUUUGGUGAGUAGAACGUUGGCACACUUUUUUUAUGCAAUCAUUUCCUAUUUUCCUUUUUAAUAGGCUCUUUAAAUCAAAUACCCUUCAGAAACCAAAAGGGAAAAAAACGGCAAAUUACCCAAACGCCACCAGAUCACUGGUACCUAUUCAUGAUCAUUGGGCCUUUCCAGGGACCUCGAAUUCCCCAUGCAAAGCCAAAUAACUGCGGAAAGAAAUGUCCCUAGUGAGGCUGCGUGGCAGAGAGAAUGGUAGGCUGCAAACCCACUGGAUGACUCUGGUCCCAAAACCCACCAGACCCUUUAGAGUCACUGAUCGCCUCAUGAUGAAAGAAAGCCCUGUUUCAUGAAACGAGGACCAAGAAAAGGGUUAAGCCCUAAACGGUUUGUUUCCUCAGAUGCUGCCUGCCCUAGAAUCUGGGAUUAACUCCGGCCAUUAAUAUUUUAAGCAACCAAUUUGACAUUUUUCCAUUUAAUUAACUUGCAUACAUAUGAGAACAGGGUUUUGAGAGUACCGUGACAUUUAAACAAAGUCACUGAAGUUUUCCCAUUUCUGAAGGAGUGCUGUUCUUUUCCUUGCCUUUUUUCUUUUCUGCUCCAUUUCUGUUUUGCAUUCCUGAUUCUGAGGCUGGCUUAUUAGCUCAGAGAAAUGACGGAAUUUCCCAAAGCAAAUGUCCCACAGCCUCAACCUAGGUGACGUGGGUGGGCCUGGCGCUCUGGGCUGCGGCUCUUUUAAACUCGAUCCCGCUCUUUUCCAAGCCUUUGUACAAAUGGCGUUUCAAUCAGAGCAGGCCCACGUCACAGGCUAAUGUUUUCCUCUUGCCACACCAUCCCCUGGUGGGAGCGGAGGAGGGGCGGCGGGGGUGCAGAAUGUCGAUCCAAUGUAACCAUCUCCGCAGAAGCGCUGGGCUUUCAAGAGGGAAACAAUAGCUCAGUGAGGAGUCUCUUCCAAAUGAUAUGCAAUUGCUGUCAUGGCAUCAAGUAAUGAAGAAAUAAGGGAAAAGAGACAAAUAGUGUGUAUCCAUUGAGGGCUGGUGUGGGGGGACUGGGCAGAGAGGCUCACUCCAUGUUCCGCAAUUGAAAAAUUGCCCCCUAAUUAGCUCCCACCCCAGAGAAUUCAUGAGUUCUCUGUGCCAUCCAAUCCCCAGCCCGCCAAGUCACAGAACGUGCAGCCCUUAAUUUUACUGCUGGUUUCAGAAGGGGUUGUGUGGUCUCCAAGUGCACUGACAGAAUGAGACACUUCGGCUCGCCCAGCCCUCAGAAAGGACCCAUUACUUCAUACUUUCAUCUGCCAUAAUUAAUCACAGAUUUUCUCUGCCUAUCCACUGCUCUGGCUGCUCUCCCCAGAUGAACCUGGGUGCUCCUAGCUCCAGCUUAUCCAUGGUGGUGGCCAGGCCAGCCAGGCUCAGAUGGCACAGGGGCAGCAAUCCCGGAGGCAAAUCAGUGCCCCUCCUCCUCGCAGGCAUCUUGGAUCCCGCAUUGAAAGUGAAAGCCCAUUGCAAGCUCAUAGUCCUCUGGAGAAACUCCGUGUCUCCCUUUCUACCCACACUCAGGAUAUUCCUUGGGGAUGUCUGCUGAGGCCAUCAGACUUUCAGAAGAAAAGACCCCCUUCCCCGUCCCCCGUAAGACAGGAGCAUCCUCAUUCUCCUCCAUCCCUCGCCCUGGGCCUGGGUUUAAAUCCCAGCUCUGCGACCUCAUUUGCUGCAUGAUCUUGGGAAAGUGACUUGGUCCACCUGAGCAUGAGUUUUUCCUUUUGUAAAAUGGAGCUAAGGGUGCCUACCAUUCAGGAAACGAUGGUGCCUGGAGGACGCCAUGGGUAAAUGACCUGUGUACCGUUGCGGUGUACCUGUGCACCACCUCUUGAUCCUUCUAUGUAAAGUGAGGGCAAUAAACCUACCUUCCCACUAGGGUUUAAUGAAAAUUGAGUAAAGAAUGCCUUGCACCAAGGUGGUAUCCAGCAAAUAUUUCAAUUGAAUUGAACUGAAUCGUACAUAAUUGGUUCAUUCAUUCCUUUAAUCCACCAGCUAAUAGCUGUUGAGUGACUGCUUUUGGUCAGACACUUUGUUUGGCAUGAGAUAUACCAAGAGGAAGGCGACAGACUUGAUUCAUGCCCUCAGGAGCUUCCAUUCUAGGAGAAAACACAAUGAAAAAUAUUUUUUAAAAAAUCACACGCGUCGUAAAAAGUUCUAUUUAAAAAAAAUAACGUAGAUCUAGGCUAACGGGUGCAUGGUGACUUUGAAAUGAACCCUAGAUGCUGAAGAGACAAGCAUGUGAGGAAUAAUAGGGAAAAGCACUCUAAGCAGAGGGAACAGCAUGGGAGAAGCAGAAUGAAUCUUAAUGUAUUCCAGGCACUGAGAACAGGUGAUUAGUCAGGGUACAUAUUUCUAGCUGCUGGAGCACAUCUAGUGAGCACAAAUCUCAGUGGUUCCGCACAGUAAAUGUUUAUUCCUCCUCCUUAUUUUAGCUGCUCUACCAUUCCCUAUGGUCUCCUUGAACUGGAUCCUGCCCUAUCCCAUGAUGCCCCAUGCAUUCUAGGAUAUUCCUUACACUCCAGUUUGGAUUUUAUUCAGUGAGAAUGGCAAGCCAGUCAAAAGUGAUGAUAUGAUCUGAUUUGUAUCUUAAGUUCUGCCUGCUAUGAGGGGAACAUAUCUGCAGAGGGCAAUGAUGCUCCCUUGCAGGUACCCUGGAUUUGGGUGGUGAGAAAAAGGAUGGAGAGAAAGUGACAGAUGCAAGAGAUGGCAUCCCCAUUGGAACUGGUUUCAGUCUUGCCGGCUGGCAAGCCGACAGGCCCCUGCUGAUUGCCUAGGGUAUGGGACAGUGCUGCAAAAGAUUAGAGAAAACAUAAGAGCACGGGGCAAGGCAGCUAGCUGUGCAGCAUAAUUUCAGAAAUGACCACCUGGGCCAAUAGCUGGGAGUCCAUUCCUUUCUGGACCUUUGGCUUCCUGGCUCGGUGCAGCACCAGACCCUCCCCAGGCCCUGUUUUCACUGGGGUUAGAGAGGUUAACAUUCAGCCAGGCCGGUUCCCACUGGUCCCAGUGCAGGUGGCCAGAGGGCAGCGGGGAGGGGGUGGCCAGUCUGUGCAGAACAUGACCACUCCCAGAGCACAGGCUCCAAGUUGUUCCAUUUAUUCCUCCCAACAGGGCUGGGAGGAUGGAGUUAUCAUUGACCCCAUUUUACAGACAAAGAAACAGACUCAUGUUGCUCCUGUGACUUGCCCGUGGCUACCCUGUUGGUGACAGCCCCAGGACUGAACACAGGCCUCCUGUUUGUUCUGUUGGCAGGAUUGUCCAGACUCACUUGGAGGCCAAAAGAUGAGGGAGGAUCUGCCUGCGUCUCUUGGCGGUCCAUGCUUCCUGCCCACGUGGCAGUGGCCACCCUGAACUGGAUGCUGCCCUGUUCCCUGAUGCACAGUUUGUCCCACGGAGCAGUGCCUUUGGACAGGCCACUGGCUUACCAACCUGGCUGAUCUUUGCAAUUACCUGGUAGUCUUUAAACAUACACUAUCCUAGCCACUCCAGAUGCAUCAAAGGAGAAUCUUUAAGUGGAUGGGGACCUGGCAGCCGUGUUUUUAAAAUCUCUCCAGGUGCUCAGAUAAAAACACUAGACAUUGUCAGUGGAUGCAUGAGUGGGUUAAAUGAGGCUCAGGGAUGGAGCAUCAUUAAGGCAUGAAUGAGUGACAGGGUCAGGAGAAGAAAAUGAGUCUCCUGCCUUUCUCAUCUCUUUUUUCCCCAGGACUGUAUGAUGCUCUGCAAGAGGUUAUGGGAAAAUCCAUCCUUAUCAAUGAUCUGAAAAUGUCGGAGCUGGGCAGGAGCUUUGAGGUUAUCUUUCCAACACAGUGGCUCCCAAUUGCCUGCUGGACAAGCUGUGUCAGAGUUACACGCGGUGCAUUUUACGACACGGGCUCCUGGCCUCCCCCUGUACCUACUGACCAUAUCAGCAGUGGGAAGACCUUGGAAUCUAUAUUUUCAAAGUCUCUCUGAAGAGACACCAUGGGCUCUGCAAAGGCUGAGAUGAUAACUUAUGCUCCGGAUCUCCCCAGGGCCGUGUUCAAGGAGUCAAGAGGAAGUCUGUGGUUAGACAUCUUCGGGUGGAGACAUACACAAACACAGUGGCUAGAAAUGGGCUCCGCGGAUUCAGCUUUCCCAGCCCUGUGGGGAGUUGGGGGGUGUGGGGUGGGGGGAUGGACGCAUGCAACUGAACAAAUGAGAAGGAGGGAGGGGGGAGGGAGGGAAGGACGACUGAACCUCUACCCCUGGGCCUCCUAGACGUGCAGCAGCCCCCACCAUUCUCUGCCUCCAGCCCACCUCUGUUUCCCAUUCUGAUGGUCGGAUACUGUGAUCCACUUUUUCCUCAAAGGCUGAGGCCACCUGAUUCACCUUCACGCCAACCCAGAGACUGCAUAUAAAAGAUCCCUGUGAAUUCAAUGUCCAGCUCUGUGGUGGGCACGGCCAGCUGCCACACACCAUGGACCCUAGCCUCUCCUUUUCCAUCAAAAUCCUGGGUUUGAUCAGGCUAGUGGGGGGCCUGGCUACAAAUGCUCACAUCUCUGACCACCCGCAUACCUAGAAGCAGGCCCUUUGAUUAGAGUUCAGGCCAAUGAGCUAUGAUAUUUCUAAGAAAAUACUUUCAUUCAUAAUAUAGGCACCAACUCUUCCUCCUCCUUGCCCCCCACGCCACCUUUUUUGCCUAGAACUUGAACACAAGGCCUGGAGGUGUAGCAGCCACCUUGUGGUUAUGAGGCAGCCGCAUGAGGAUGACAUUAGUGCAGAAAAACAGAAAGAGGCCAGAGGCUCAGUGGCAUUCUUAUAUCACCUUCUACCCUGUACAGACUCACCAGAGACUUCUAAUUUCAUGAGAAAAAUAAAGCUUCAGCUGGUCAAACCA
ensembl:lncRNA